GUCUGCUAAAUGACUUAAAUGUAAUGUAAUGUAAUGUAAAUGUUUACACCACUGAAUUUAGGACAGUAUAAUUUUACUUUAUCUCAAAAACAUAUGACAUCGCUGGAGUUCCGAAGAUGUCAUAAAGCAAUGUUUCCCAGGAAACAUAAUUCAAAUUCAAAUUUUCCGAAUACAAGAAACUCAUAUCAAAAUUUGAUCAUGAAGCGGAAAGGUACGAGCACAGAUUGGUGGUUUUUAUACAAUUGUUUUAUGUAGUAGCUCCAUAGACAUUUUGGAUUCUACCCACAUUUAAAGCAAAAGAAAGAAAACCACCAACAGAAAGCCUGACCAUGUCAAAGAUUUUGAGAAUAUCAGCUAUUUCAGUCAGACUAAAGAAGCCAAAUCAGACUACAGCUCUUUUGGCGAUGGACCAACGCACAACCUCUUUGGACUGAUCAACCUGAGGGUGUGAAUGUCUACCUUGUCCACGGAUAGUUUCAGAGAUGACCUGAUCAUUGAUCCUGUUGACUCUUGGAAGCCUCAACCCUACUACCCCCAGAAACCAUGGAUGUCCUUCAAUGAGAUACAGGCAUACUCAGCAGAGACGUCCUGGCCUUACUUCCCGUGGCAGAUGCCUCCUUCACCCGGAGCAGAGGAGAGCCUCCAGCAUGUGAAGCGACAUGGAGAAGGCCCGUUCACCCAGAAACUAAGCAAGACGGAAGAUAGCUCGUCGUCAUUCGUAAUAACCACAGGCAUAAAUUUUUGAGCAAAUUCCAACAUCACCGUUGCCGCUCUAGUCUACCUGUCAGUUCACUUCUGCUGCGCGUAUCACGUUGGUGCGACGGACAGAGCACCUUUCAGCUCAACUGGUCAAGAUGGCGGAACUGAAAACUGUGGAUAAUGGUGACCAUCCUUACAAAUCUGAAAUAAAUACAGUCCAAUCUCCCUUGAGCAAGAGGUUGUGCGAAUA